rnacentral:rRNA from 1 species
GACGAACGCUGGCGGCGUGCUUAACACAUGCAAGUCGAACGGAAAGGCCCUGCUUUUGUGGGGUGCUCGAGUGGCGAACGGGUGAGUAACACGUGAGUAACCUGCCCUUGACUUUGGGAUAACUUCAGGAAACUGGGGCUAAUACCGGAUAGGAGCUCCUGCUGCAUGGUGGGGGUUGGAAAGUUUCGGCGGUUGGGGAUGGACUCGCGGCUUAUCAGCUUGUUGGUGGGGUAGUGGCUUACCAAGGCUUUGACGGGUAGCCGGCCUGAGAGGGUGACCGGCCACAUUGGGACUGAGAUACGGCCCAGACUCCUACGGGAGGCAGCAGUGGGGAAUAUUGCACAAUGGGCGGAAGCCUGAUGCAGCAACGCCGCGUGCGGGAUGACGGCCUUCGGGUUGUAAACCGCUUUCGCCUGUGACGAAGCGUGAGUGACGGUAAUGGGUAAAGAAGCACCGGCUAACUACGUGCCAGCAGCCGCGGUGAUACGUAGGGUGCGAGCGUUGUCCGGAUUUAUUGGGCGUAAAGGGCUCGUAGGUGGUUGAUCGCGUCGGAAGUGUAAUCUUGGGGCUUAACCCUGAGCGUGCUUUCGAUACGGGUUGACUUGAGGAAGGUAGGGGAGAAUGGAAUUCCUGGUGGAGCGGUGGAAUGCGCAGAUAUCAGGAGGAACACCAGUGGCGAAGGCGGUUCUCUGGGCCUUUCCUGACGCUGAGGAGCGAAAGCGUGGGGAGCGAACAGGCUUAGAUACCCUGGUAGUCCACGCUGUAAACGGUGGGUACUAGGUGUGGGGUCCAUUCCACGGGUUCCGUGCCGUAGCUAACGCUUUAAGUACCCCGCCUGGGGAGUACGGCCGCAAGGCUAAAACUCAAAGGAAUUGACGGGGCCCCGCACAAGCGGCGGAGCACGCGGAUUAAUUCGAUGCAACGCGUAGAACCUUACCUGGGUUUGACAUGGAUCGGGAGUGCUCAGAGAUGGGUGUGCCUCUUUUGGGGUCGGUUCACAGGUGGUGCAUGGCUGUCGUCAGCUCGUGUCGUGAGAUGUUGGGUUAAGUCCCGCAACGAGCGCAACCCUUGUUCACUGUUGCCAGCACGUUAUGGUGGGGACUCAGUGGAGACCGCCGGGGUCAACUCGGAGGAAGGUGGGGAUGACGUCAAGUCAUCAUGCCCCUUAUGUCCAGGGCUUCACGCAUGCUACAAUGGCUGGUACAGAGAGUGGCGAGCCUGUGAGGGUGAGCGAAUCUCGGAAAGUCGGUCUCAGUUCGGAUUGGGGUCUGCAACUCGACCUCAUGAAGUCGGAGUCGCUAGUAAUCGCAGAUCAGCAACGCUGCGGUGAAUACGUUCCCGGGGCU